rnacentral:misc_RNA from 1 species
AAAAAAAUAAAAUCUCAAUUCCCCAAUGGAGAACCAAACAAAGAAGAUAUAUACAAAAAAAAAAAACCACUGAAGAACCAGAAACAAAACCUUAGAAUUUUAUCAAACCACGCUGAAGAAACUAAAACAAAUCAAAACAGUCCUGACGUAGCCAGAAGUAAGAUAAGAAACACCCUUUAGGGAGCACUAAAAAAAAUCUCUUCAAAACUGUUUUUGUGAAUAGUGCCAUGAAUAAUAUCCAUGAAUAGUACCUAUAAAUAAUACCAAUAAACAAUACCUCAUGAAAAGCACCGAAACCUUAAUGAAUCGAAUCGAG